CCUACGGGAGGCUGCAGUGGGGAAUAUUGGACAAUGGGGGGAACCCUGAUCCAGCCAUGCCGCGUGUGUGAAGAAGGCCCUCGGGUUGUAAAGCACUUUCAGUGAGGAAGAACGCCUGGUGGUUAAUACCCAUCAGGAAAGACAUCACUCACAGAAGAAGCACCGGCUAACUCCGUGCCAGCAGCCGCGGUAAUACGGAGGGUGCGAGCGUUAAUCGGAAUUACUGGGCGUAAAGCGCGCGUAGGUGGCUUGAUAAGCCGGUUGUGAAAGCCCCGGGCUCAACCUGGGAACGGCAUCCGGAACUGUCAAGCUAGAGUGCAGGAGAGGAAGGUAGAAUUCCCGGUGUAGCGGUGAAAUGCGUAGAGAUCGGGAGGAAUACCAGUGGCGAAGGCGGCCUUCUGGACUGACAAUGACACUGAGGUGCGAAAGCGUGGGUAGCAAACAGGAUUAGAUACCCCAGUAGUC
rnacentral:rRNA from 1 species